CAAAGGGCUCACGGAGGAUACCUAGGCACACAGAGGCGAUGAAGGACGUGGUUACCUGCGAUAAGUCUCGGGGAGUUGGAAGCACACUUUGAUCCGGGAAUUUCCGAAUGGGGCAACCCCUUGAACGACCAACUGAAUAUAUAGGUUGGUGCGAGCUAACCCAGCGAACUGAAACAUCUUAGUAGCUGGAGGAAGAGAAAGUAAAUAACGACUCCCUCAGUAGCGGCGAGCGAACGGGGAAUAGCCCAAACCGAUAGUCUUGACUAUCGGGGUUGUGGGACAGCAAUAUGGAUCAACAAUUCUAGAAGAAACGUUUGAAUGGCGUGCCAUAGAGGGUGAAAGCCCCGUAAUUGAAAGAUGAGUUGACCUAGCUGUAUCCCGAGUAGCACGGAGCACGUGGAAUUCCGUGUGAAUCUGCGAGGACCACCUCGUAAGGCUAAGUACUACUGUGUGACCGAUAGUGAAACAGUACCGCGAGGGAAAGGUGAAAAGAACCCCGGGAGGGGAGUGAAAUAGAACAUGAAACCGUGAGCUUACAAGCAAUGGGAGCCCGACUAAUCGGGUGACCGUGUGCCUGUUGAAGAAUGAGCCGGCGACUUAUAGGCACUGGCGGGUUAAACCGGAAAUGGUGGAGCCACAGCGAAAGCGAGUCUUAAUAGGGCGUUUGUCAGUGUUUAUAGACCCGAACCCUGGUGAUCUAACCAUGGCCAGGAUGAAGCUUGGGUGAUACCAAGUGGAGGUCCGAACCGACUGAAGUUGAAAAUUCAGCGGAUGAGCUGUGGUUAGGGGUGAAAUGCCAAUCGAACCAGGAGCUAGCUGGUUCUCCCCGAAAUACGUUGAGGCGUAGCGUCUAGUGCUCCAGCAGGGGGGUAAAGCAACCAUUUCGGUGCGGGCUGCGAAAGCGGUACCAAAUCGAUAUGAACUCUGAAUACCCUGUGUGUAACUAGGCAGUCAGACUGUGGGGGAUAAGCUCCAUAGUCAAGAGGGAAACAGCCCAGACCGCCAGCUAAGGUCCCAAAAUUAACGCUAAGUGAUAAAGGAGGUGGGAUUGCCCAGACAACCAGGAGGUUUGCCUAGAAGCAGCCAUCCUCAAAGGAGUGCGUAAUAGCUCACUGGUCGAGCGAUCCUGCGCCGAAAAUGAAUGGGGCUAAGCGUUAUACCGAAGCUGCGGAUAAAUUUAUUUAUGGUAGGGGAGCGUUCUAUGUUGGGUGAAGCGUUAGCGUAAGCGGACGUGGACGGCAUAGAAGUGAGAAUGUCGGCUUGAGUAGCGAAAACAUGGGUGAGAAUCCCAUGCCCCGAAACCCUAAGGGUUCCUCCGGCAGGCUCGUCCGCGGAGGGUUAGUCUGGACCUAAGGCGAGGCCGAAAGGCGUAGUCGAUGGAUAACAGGUCAAUAUUCCUGUACCAGUUAUGUUUUGGGAAGGGGGACGGAGAAGGCUAGCCAGGCCAGAUGUUGGUUACUGGUUCAAGCGUUCAAGGCUUUGAGAGAUGGAGAAAACAUCUUGAGCUGAGGCGUGAGUACGAGCUGCUACGGCAGCGAAGUUGGUGAUGUCAUGCUUCCAAGAAAAGCCCUAUACCCGUUAAGACAUAAAUGCCAGUACCCGAAACCGACACAGGUGGGGUGGUAGAGAAUACCGAGGGGCGCGAGAUAACUCUCUCUAAGGAACUCGGCAAAAUGGCCCCGUAACUUCGGGAGAAGGGGUGCCAGCGAGAGCUGGUCGCAGUGAAGAGGCGCAAGCGACUGUUUACCAAAAACACAGGUCUCCGCUAAGUCGCAAGACGAUGUAUGGGGGCUGACACCUGCCCAGUGCCGGAAGGUUAAGGAAGCUGGUUAGCUUUUAGCAAAGCUAGCGACUGAAGCCCCGGUGAACGGCGGCCGUAACUAUAACGGUCCUAAGGUAGCGAAAUUCCUUGUCGGGUAAGUUCCGACCCGCACGAAAGGUGUAACGAUUUGCGCGCUGUCUCGGAGAGAGGCUCGGCGAAAUAGAAUUGUCUGUGAAGAUGCGGACUACAUACACCCGGACAGAAAGACCCUAUGAAGCUUUACUGUAGUUUGAUAUUGUGCUCGGGCUCUAAUUGCGCAGAAUAGGUGGGAGACAUUGAAAUAGUACUUGUGGGUAUUAUUGAGUCAUCGGUGAGAUACCACUCUAUUAGAGCUAGGGUUCUAACGCUUACCCGUUAUCCGGGAAGCGGACAGUAUCUGAUGGGCAGUUUGACUGGGGCGGUCGCCUCCUAAAAGGUAACGGAGGCGCACAAAGGUUCCCUCAGGCUGGUUGGAAAUCAGUCGUUGAGUGCAAAAGCAGAAGGGAGCUUGACUGUGAGACCUACAAGUCGAACAGGGACGAAAGUCGGUUUUAGUGAUCCGACGGUUCUGCGUGGAAGGGCCGUCGCUCAACGGAUAAAAGUUACUCUAGGGAUAACAGGCUGAUCUCCCCCAAGAGUUCACAUCGACGGGGAGGUUUGGCACCUCGAUGUCGGCUCAUCGCAACCUGGGGCUGAAGUCGGUCCCAAGGGUUGGGCUGUUCGCCCAUUAAAGCGGUACGCGAGCUGGGUUCAGAACGUCGUGAGACAGUUCGGUCCAUAUCCGGUGUAUGCGCAGGAAUAUUGAGAGGAUUUCUCCCUAGUACGAGAGGACCGGGAGGAACGCACCUCUGGUGUGCCAGUUAUCGUGCCAACGGUAAACGCUGGGUAGCCAUGUGCGGAGUGGAUAACCGCUGAAAGCAUCUAAGUGGGAAGCCCACCUCAAGAUGAGUAUUGCCAUGGCUUAAGCCAGUAAGGUCACGGGAAGAACACCCGUUGAUAGGCUCUACGUGGAAGCUUGGUAACAAGUGCAGCGGAGGAGUACUAAUAGACCGAGGGCUUGACCA
rnacentral:rRNA from 1 species